AGGGAGGGUGGGGAAGAAAAGAGAGAUGAGCCAUGACUCCAUGGAGUACCUCAAGGAUCUUCCUUUAGCCUUGUGAUAUUCAACAAUUUUUACCAUUGGUACGCAUGACAGGUCACCUUGCUCAUAUUGAAAUUACUACAUUUGAGAGGUCUUCAUUUUAUUCCUCAGGUGAGAAAACUAAGUCACAAGAACUUUUAGGUCACAGAGAGUAGAUAGAACAUAGAAGAGCUGGUGUUUUAAUUUAAGCUUCUCCAACUACAAGACUCUACUGAAGCAGGGGAACAAAUCAGGGCUCUAACGGGGCAAUUUGGAUACUCAACUUUGGCACAAUGAAACUGCUAGAAGAUCCCCAAGGAGAUGAAGUCCCACCUAAAUGCCAUCUCAUAUCCUCAUACCAUCUCAUAUUUUAAGGGGCUCAGGGAAUGUUUCAUAAUGGAUUUCAAUUCAAGUUACAUGAGAUAUGUUUUUGUUCUAGACACACAAAUGAAAAACAAUGCCAGCCCUGUUUUCUGAGGGCUUAUGAUCAAUCAGGAGGAGAUAAAGAACAAAUAAAUACAGUGCAGGGUAGAAUGUGACAAGGGCAAAGGGGAGAUCCAGAAGUACAGUAAGAAACCUGAGGACAAAGAUAGAACUUUUAAGUGAUAAUAGGGACAACGGGAACUUGUCAUAGUGAUAAGCAACUGAGUUGAGUUUCAAAGAAAAAUUUCAACAGAAUUGGAGAGAGAAUGUGCUCCAAGAUGAGAGGACAAGCAGCAAGCAGUCCAAUUUGGCUAGAAAGCCAGGUUGGACGAAGAUUAUGGAGGGCUUCUGAAAUCCAGAAUCAGGGAUCUAGCCUUUAUUUAGCAAAUGAAGAAUUAUGUGAUAAGAUUUCUCCAAAGGGAGAUGAUUAUGGUUACAUGAAUGAACUUCAAUGUGAUUCAUACGGAUAAGAUGAAGAGAGGUGGGCAGGAAGAUGAUACUAUGAGAGGGAUGAACAUUGGGUGAAUUACCAGGUGCAAAAAUUUAUCAUUAAUGAUAUGUCAGUUAGGGAGAAUUUCCUGUGGAGAUUCCCAAGAUCUGUACUGGACUCUGGGUUGUUACAUUUAUAUCCAUGACUUGGUAAAGAUCCAGAUAGAAUAUUCAUCUGAUUCUCAGGGAACACCAACAUGGGAAGGGUAGCAAACAUCCUGGAUGGCAGUGAUAGACUGAAAAAAAGAGCCUGAUGAAUGUUGGGCUGAAUCUAAUAAGAUGAUAUUUAAUAGGGAUAAGCAUCAAGUCUUGUAGUCUCAAUAUCAUAAGUACAAGAUGAAAGAAACAUAAGAAUAGUUUACUGGAAAAAAAGAUCUGGGGUUUUUUAUAGAUCACAAACUCAUUCUGAAUGAUUCACAUGGUAACCCAAAAAGCUAAUGUGGUAUCUUGGGCUAUAUUCAGAGACACUUGCAGGAAUAAGGAGGCAAUAAAUAGUAUGAGUGGAUUUUGUCUAAGUCACAACACAUCUACAGUAUUGCACUGAGCGCUAGAUAAAUUUUUUCCCAAAAAUAAAGGUUAGUUUGUUUUUUUUUUAUAAUAUCUGAUAGGCAGUCAGGUGGAUAAGAUUCUGGACUUGGAGUCAUAAGACCUGAAUUCAAAUCCGGCCUCAGACACUUACUUCAGUCUGCCUCAGUUUUCUUAUCUAUAAAAUGGGGAUAGAGGCAGCUAAGUGGGGCAGAGUUCUAAGCUUAGAGUCAGGAAGUUCCUGAGUUCAAAUCCAUCCCCAGACACUAGCUAUGUGAUCCUGGGCAUGAAACCUAAUGUUGUUUGCCUCAGUUUCCUCAUCUAUAAAAUGAGCCAAAGAAGGAAAUGAUAAACUGCUCCAGUAUCUCUGUCAAGAAAAACCCAAAUGGGGUCAUGAAGAGUUAAAUAUGAUUAAAAUGACUAAACAACAACAACAUCCUCCCAGGAUUUUUGUGAAAAUAAACGUGAUAAUAUUUGUAAAGUUACUUUCCAAGUA